UCCCUUGUAUCUCAGACAGCAAAGAAUCUGCUUGCAAUGCAGGAGAUAUGGGUUCAAUCCCUGUUUGGGGAA
rnacentral:tRNA from 1 species